CGUUGAAACACCGGUUCCCGUACAAUCACCGAAGUUAAGCAACGUCGAACCUGGUCAGUACCUAGGAGGGUGACCGUUUUUGCAAUACCAGGUGCUGUAAG